rnacentral:rRNA from 1 species
GACGAACGCUGGCGGCGUGCUUAACACAUGCAAGUCGAACGGUAAGGCCCUUCGGGGUACACGAGUGGCGAACGGGUGAGUAACACGUGGGUGAUCUGCCCUGCACUUCGGGAUAAGCCUGGGAAACUGGGUCUAAUACCGGAUAGGACCACUGCCUGCAUGGGUGGUGGUGGAAAGCUUUUGCGGUGUGGGGUGGGCCCGCGGCCUAUCAGGUUGUUGGUGGGGUGAUGGCCAACCAAGGCGACGACGGGUAGCCGGCCUGGGAGGGGGACCGGCCACGCUGGGACUGAGAUACGCCCCAGACUCCUACGGGAGGCGGGAGUGGGGAGUAGUGCACAAGGGGCGCAAGCCUGAUGCAGCGGCGCCGCGUGAGGGAUGACGGCCUUCGGGUUGUAAACCUCUUUCAGCACCGACGAAGCGCAAGUGACGGUAGGUGCAGAAGAAGGACCGGCCAACUACGUGCCAGCCGCCGCCGUAA